rnacentral:sRNA from 1 species
UCCGUAGGUGAACCUGCGGAAGGAUCAUUCAUAAUAAGUGUUUUAUGGCACUUUUUAAAUCCAUAUCCACCUUGUGUGCAAUGUCAGUUGUUCUCUUUUUUGAGAAUGACCAAACAUCAACUUAUUCUUUAACUCUUUGUCUGAAAAAUAUUAUGAAUAAAAUAAUUCAAAAUACAACUUUCAACAACGGAUCUCUUGGCUCUCGCAUCGAUGAAGAACGCAGCGAAAUGCGAUACGUAAUGUGAAUUGCAGAAUUCAGUGAAUCAUCGAAUCUUUGAACGCAUAUUGCGCUCUUUGGUAUUCCGAAGAGCAUGCUUGUUUGAGUAUCAGUAAACACCUCAAAGACUUCAAUUUGUUUUGAAUGGCUUUGGACUUGAGCAAUCCCAACACCAGUCUUUACGAUCGGUGGAGGGUUGCUUGAAAUGCAGGUGCAGCUGGACAUUCUCCUGAGCUAAAAGCAUAUUUAUUUAGUCCCGUCAAACGGAUUAUUACUUUUGCUGCAGCUAACAUAAAGGGAGUCUGACCGUAUUGGCUGACUGAUGCAGGAUUUCACAAGGGUCGGCAACGAUUCUUGUAAAACUCGAUCUCAAAUCAAGUAAGACUACCCGCUGAACUUAAGCAUAUCAAUAAGCGGAGGAAAAGAAACUAACAAGGAUUCCCCUAGUAACGGCGAGUGAAGCGGGAUGAGCUCAAAUUUAAAAUCUGGCUGGUUUACUAGUCCGAAUUGUAGUUUAUAGAAGCGUUUUCGGUGGCAGCCUGGGUAUAAGUCCUUUGGAAUAGGGUAUCAUAGAGGGUGAGAAUCCCGUCUUUGACUCAGUGCAUGCUACUAUGUGAUACGUUUUCAAAGAGUCGAGUUGUUUGGGAAUGCAGCUCAAAAUGGGUGGUAAAUUUCAUCUAAAGCUAAAUAUUGGCGAGAGACCGAUAGCGAACAAGUACCGUGAGGGAAAGAUGAAAAGAACUUUGAAAAGAGAGUUAAACAGUGCGUGAAAUUGUUGAAAGGGAAACGCUUGAAGU